rnacentral:rRNA from 1 species
UACGUAGGUGGCAAGCGUUGUCCGGAUUUACUGGGUGUAAAGGGCGUGCAGCCGGAGAGACAAGUCAGAUGUGAAAUCCACGGGCUCAACCCGUGAACUGCAUUUGAAACUGUUUCCCUUGAGUGUCGGAGAGGUAAUCGGAAUUCCUCGUGUAGCGGUGAAAUGCGUAGAUAUAAGGAAGAACACCAGUGGCGAAGGCGGAUUACUGGACGAUAACUGACGGUGAGGCGCGAAAGCGUGGGGAGCAAACAGG